rnacentral:tRNA from 1 species
GGCCCCGUGGUCUAAAGGUCAGGAUAGCGGUCUUUCACGCCGUUGGUGACGGGUUCAAGUCCCGCCGGGGCUA